UGGAUGCCUUCCAGUAUCAUCCUGUGAGUUCAGUGUGGAGCUCCUGGGCCUGUUUCUCAGGCCGGCUUUGUCUGUAGCUGUGUCCCACGGCUCUCCUCUGACAAGGCUCCACUGCUACCCUUUCUUCACCUUGGGAUAAUGUGCUGACUCCAGUAGAUGACAAACGGUGUUAAGUAAUUAACCUCGUGGCUGCUUUAAUGAUUGUGUUUCAUGGUUACAUCAUUUCGAAUGGAUCCAGUUGGACUUCUCUCUGCCAGUUUGUUUGUACUAAUCUUUCUUUCUCUUUCUUCCUUCCUUCCUUCCUUCCUUCCUUCCUUUCUUUCUUUCUUUCUUUUUAUUUGGAAUCCAUAUUUUUAUCUUUGUGGUACCCAAUCUUCAAGAUGCUAUUUCUUUUUUAUCAAAAAAAUAAAAAUAAAACAUUGCUCACACUUUUAUAAAAGUACCACAAUAAUGGCGAACUGCCGAUUACAUAGUCGUUUAUGAUAGAAAAACGUUCCAUUUCUCUAAUAGUGAAAUACCGACUUACUGGUUAAUGUUCACUUUUCCAUUUUCUUUUCAUCUCACGAUGUAGGCCAGAUUGGUCUGGAACUUGCAGCAAUUCUCUUGUCUCAGUCUCUUAAGUACUAGGUUUAUAGGUGUGAGAGCCAUGAUGCCUGGCUUGGUACUUAACUGUCGAUUGGUUUUUGGGCCUUUGAUAGCUCCUGCCAACUCCUAAUAAUCAUAAGUUUUCCUGACGGAAGACGCAGGUUGGUGCGACAUUUCUCAGAAGAACUGACAUAUACUCUGCUCUUAGAGCCCCUCAAGAAGCAACAGAAUGGACCACAUCUGGCUUGGCCCAUUAAAAAUGUCACUUUCUGAUUUUUUUAAAUAUCAUGCAAACAGGGUAAGCUGUUCAAGUUGAGCUUAAUAAUAGCUAUAGCAAACAAAUCAGUUUAUCGAAUGGUCAGAAUGCUUCUCUACAGAGGGAGGAGAGUUAGGAAAGAGAGGGACACUUGGAUUGUUAACAAAAAGGUGGUAGAGGGGUGAGGGAGGAGGCAGCACAGUAGGGAAAGGCAUGCGGCAAUGUGGCCAGUACCUUGGCGUAAAAGUUUGGACAACAAUAUUAUCUUUAACUGAUGGAGGAAACCUUCAUUUAAACCUUUGCUCUAAUCCAAUGUUUGCCUUGUAAUCAGAUGUCUCUUCUGCAUCAUAUGGUAUCAAGAAACAUGUGAGAUAGUCCUAAGAAUUCAACCCAGGACCUCACCAUGCUAGGCAAGUACUCUCCCACAGGUCUCCAGCCUUCUUCUCAUUUUGCAUUUUGAGACAGGGUCUCACUAAGUUGCCCAGGUUGCCCUUGAACUUAAAAUCCCAUCUCGGUUUUGUUAGCUGUGAUUACAGACCUGUAAAAACCACAGAGCUUACGACUGUCAUUUAAACUCUAGAAAAACUCGAUAUCUGUCUGAAGUUUAUGAACGCUCUAUAAAGUUGUUAAUUUUUUUUUAUUAUAAGUCAUAGUUUAGGCCUCUGUAGAGAGUGACAGUAACAUGAUGUUUUUGGGGUGAGAGGAAGGGGAGGGGAGUAAGCCAUCCCUACCUCUCCUUGCUGUCCUUCCUCCUCUGGUAGCUUCCUCUGCUGGGAAGAAGGGUGGGGAAGAGAUGCUGCAAGAGCUACAGAACUCCCGGCAGCCCUUAGGUUUGUUGUUUCCCUUUAUGACCUUCGGCCCUUUUCUAAAUCCAGCAGACAUCUGACUCCCUGGCAUGAUCAUCACACUCACGGUCAGAACGGCAGCACACACUCUGGCACUGAUGCCGGGAACUGUGAGUCACUGCUCCGGGUUCUUCCUGGUGUGGAAGUGAGUCUCCGAAGAGGGAGAAAGAGCAGUCUGUCAGAUACUUCAUGCACUAUAUCCCAUGGAAUUAUUUAAGAUGAGUAAAACUCUUUUGAGAAAUUAUUUUCUUUGUUCAAAGACUCAUACGUGGAUCCUUCCUGAAAAAUAUGUGAUUAGUCUUUUUAUCUAAAAGACCAUGGAAUUCUUCAUUUUCUCAGUUUUUUUUUUCCUACCUCCUCUUUCUUCAUCCGUUAUUUUCAACGAUAAAAAUGUAAACUUUGUUACAAGGUCAUUUGGAACUGGGAGCUUUUAGAAAAACAUUGAAUGAAAUAAAACAUAGUCAGUGACUAUAUGACUUUA